CCCGGCGCAGUGGACGCAUGCGCUGAUCCAGGCUCGCCUGAGAGACCCGAGAGGAGGGUGACGAAAUGCUGCGGGUCACUAAGGGCGCGUGCGCCAGAGAGGCCCACGCGCGGCAACCCCCGCUCCACUUGCAGAUUACACAAGCAAAAAGACUUCUAGUUUGAAGCCUCUUUGCGGGCAAUGACUCAGAGAUGCUACUGUUCCAGCAGCCAGCAGCUGAUUUUAGCCUAAGUAUAUAUUGGAGGAAACAAAGAAGAGAAAGUUACCAUGAUAUUACGGCUGUGAGAGUGCAACACCAAAAGUAAAACAAGGGAGAUCUGUCAUACUCCUGAGAAGACUGAUCUUGCACACAUGUAUGUUUUAAUUUUGCAAAGCACGCAUAUGUCUAUAUUUACUGAAGCUGGAGUGACAACAAGAUUCAUCACUGACCCAUAACACAAGUGACUUAAUUUUUUUGUCUUCAGUGACACUAUUUCACAGAAGAUGGCUGGAGGUCAUGGUGGUGCUCAGGCAGUGCAAAGCACUAUAGUGCUUAAAGUCAUUGUCUUAGCUGCAGAGCAGUGUCAGAUCCAGAGACAGAGCAGCAGCAUUGCAGCAGUGCUGCACAAAAGCUAAUUAGCCUAGGUAUGAUGCAAUUAGCUCCAUACCAAUGUGCCUGUUUUUCUGUGUUCCCAGAGCUGAUUCAGUUGUUUGUAGUUUAGGGAUCCCUGAACUUUGUCUGUUUUAGACGUGUCUGCAUUUGGAUCUCAAAAGCAUUGUGGCUUGUUUUUGAUAGUAAACAACUGUUGAAUAUGAGUGUGAGACUGGGUUUGAUAAUGCCGAAAUCAUUUUUACUAUUUUCCAUGGAUUUGGAGACAAAUCACCUGAAUGUGUGUGCGCGCGUGUGUGUGUGUAUAAAGUUUCUCCUUACUGUUCUUAUAAAGCAUUUUUGUCAGAAAACCCGGGUAAUUUUAUUGUUCAAUAUGGAAAGAAUCAACUGUUAGGCACUGAUUGUCACAAAUUUACUUUCCUUGAGAUAAGCAAAUCUGAACCUAUGUGGAAAAUUCACUGUGAGAUCUGGAGAGAUGUAUUCUACUAUCAGUUCAGGCCAUGUUUCUUAAGUCAAAUUUACUAUCCUUUACUACUCAGUUGUCUUCUAAAAUACAGGAUUUCAUUAAAGAAAAACAAUCUUGAAAUUGAUAGGUGUACAGAAAUGAGGAAUUAUGGAAAAUUGCUGAUUCUUUGGUACAAAAUGGAACAAAUUGAUGUGUGAUAUACUAAUUUGAAAACUAGCUUUAUGGGUGGCCGAGGACGAUUGUUCUAUGCAAUGUUUGUGCAUAUCUAGCACAAGGAGUUCUGUCCCAUCAUUAAGGCUCCUACUUGUGAUUGUGAUAGGUAUAAAUAAGUAAAGGAUAUUUGCCAAUGAAACAUUGGCAAUAAACUUCAAUUUAAGUAAAACCUAACCAUUUUGAUAAAGUAUUAAAGGGUUUUUGUAUUUUUGCAAGUAAAACUUAAGUAUAUAUAUAUGUUUUUGAUUUAACAUUGUAAGUAUAAGUUCCAACAAUUCCAUGGAAUUUACUUUACAUCUUAUGAAUAACUGAGGUGAUUUGAUUUGACUUUAUUCUUGCUACAUCAGGAGAAACUGCUUGAUAAAGAAACCUGAUUUUUGUGGACAGACCUGUUCACUUAAAUUUGGGUGCCUCUGCUAGAAAGCUAAAUAGAUAAAACAUAAAUAGAUGACUAACUUUAAAAGUAGUAUACCUAGAACACAGGUCUUAGGUAGUUUAUCGUCUGUAAAUGUGGUAGAUUUGAUUGUGGAAAAUGUAACCCAUUUGUUCUUUUACAGCUAAGUAAGUGCUGGGUUUUGUCUUCUAUGUUUUUGAAAACAAACAUGAUUAUUGUAACCGAUUUACUGCUGGCGACUGUUCUUUGGGGUAUGCCAUAUUUACAUGAAGCAGCGUCCUGUGAUGAAAACGCUCAGCUAUUUUCAGCACACAUUAUCAGUAAAGUGCCGUGUUAGUUCAGAUUUAUACUGCUCUUUGUUCUCGACUAUAGCUAUGUUGAGCUGGAAAUACAUUGUGAACAUACCCUAGAUGGCAGGCAGGUCAGGUGUCUGAAAACAAGGCCUGCCAAUUCAUCACACAGCCCUCUCUCGUGCUUCCAAAAGAUCAAUUGGUCUUCCUCAGGCCUACACAGAAGAACAUUUGGAUCACUGUACUGGAUAUGAGUAUGCAGUCAUCAGACUAGAAGACGAUCUAGCCCUCUGCCCACAAGAUGCUAGGCCAUGUUGUUUCUGACAGAUUUGCUUUUGCCUUUUAGCGGACAAUGAGAACGUGCCUGAUCGGUAACAGCUCGAUCAGUAGCAGCUGUUGUUGAGAGUAAGGCUUGUGUUAGAGAAGUGAAUGUGUUAAAGAAGCACUGUCAGCACCUGAGGCAGGCUCUGAUGGCUUGUCUUCAACAGUAGACGCCUGUAUUUGCCCUGCAGGAGAUGAUGGCAGCUUGUCGCAAAAUUUUUGUAGCAGAACAUCUUUCCAAUGCUCUGUGUUUGCCCCAGGAUGAAAAAUGCCCUCGAUGUUGCCCUUAAAAUGGAGAUCUAGUUGCAAUGCCAACAUGCACUUGAAUACAUCAGUGCUUGUUGUAGGAUUCCUUGGGAGUUGCAGUGACACAAGGUCAAAUUCAGCCCUCAUGUAAACUGGUGUGAUGCCUGCCUGACCCAAAACUCUGUCAGUGAAACAGAACGGCUGUCAGUUUUCACCUCUCUUGAUGUCCUUGAGGAAAGGAUGGAUUUGAAAGGAGAUGUCACAUCACUAUCAGACUAUGCUAAUGUCAUAGGUGAGUCUCAGAGGGCUCUAAGAGUAAACCACAUUUUUAAAACAGUCUUUCCAAUAUUUUUUUUCCUUCAGCAAUAUUCCUAGGAAUACUGUGAGUGACCAUCUAUUGCUUUUUUUUCCCCAAACAAAAAGUAUCUCAGAGUUGAGUUGCAAUCAGAUGGAUUUAGGAUUACUGCUAUGGUAUGCAAAUUCCUGAAUUGCUGUACUUCCUCUGACUUUUAUAAAUUAAUUUCUAGAUUGCCAGGACACAACUACUCUACAGCAAGACAUGUGUUAAUAUAGUUAUUGGCACAAAUAAAACAAGUCUAUAGUGAGAUUUCUAGGGAGUUUUCCUGGAUGCUGUAUUGCUAUUACACUGCACAUGACUUUGAACAACUAAUUGCCAAAACCAGCAACUCCCCCACCUGCUAGUUAUUUAUUCUGUCCGUUUGCACUGACUACACAGUUCUGUGAAGUUGCUCCAAGAAACACCUUGUUUUGGAGACAUAUCUCAUGAAGUAGCAUCCAGGAAGGCUCCCCAGGGCAGGCAUUGCUUAUGUUACUGUGAAUCAGAUGCAUUACAAUUAUUAAUUGUUAUUGUGAAAUGUUUCUGCUUCUCCCUUUAUGCUUCUCUCCCAGAUGAAAAGGCUUUAUGGCCUUCUGUAUUGCAUCUUCUGGAGUUCAGAGAACUUACUAGAUAAAUCUGUUAAAGAAUAUUGAGCUGAAACUGUCUAGAGGUAGCUGCAUAGCACAACUUACAUAAAACUUGCUUAGCAUGAGUAGCUAAAUUUGUUGAAGCCUUAGGCCUCACUUAGAUAAAAUAAUGAACUUUUACCUAGGUCAGUAAGAAAAGGGGCCUGAGAGCUGGUUCAAACUGGAAUGAUAAGGGAGUUACCAACAGUUUGCAUUCCUGUGCUUCGCGCUCCAGGAGGGAGGAUGUCAAGGCUUUGAAAUAAGGCCUACUUGGGCGCCAGGACCUUGGGAAACAAAGCCUCCUCUCACUGCUGAAACAGUCUGUACUACCUUGGGGUCUGGAUUAUAUCCCCUUCGUCAGGACCUUGGGAGAUAACACCUAUUGUCACUGCAGGGGCAGUGCUAAUUGCUGGAACAACACCUCUUUGUCAGGGCCUUGAGAGACAAGGGCGGGACCCGAGGAAUCAAGACACAUCUGUCAACAGAAACCGCAACAGUAAAGAUAAGCAGCCUACCUAGGGACAGUGAUGAGACCCAAUAAGGAGCAGGAGACCCCAGACCUAAAUAUUACUAUUGGUCCAAACUACUGCAUGAGGGGUGGAGAGCUUAGAUUGGAAGGUAUAAUUGCCCAGGGAUUUCUUUGUUCGGGGUCCCUCUUCGGAGGCAUCCAGCUUGAGCUGUAAUUUCUGCACGUGUGUCAUUAAAAUUUAAUUAUUUAA